rnacentral:rRNA from 1 species
GCAAGUCGAGGGGCAGCAUUGGUACUUGUACCAGAUGGCGACCGGCGCACGGGUGCGUAACGCGUAUGCAACCUACCCUUUACAGGAGGAUAGCCCGAAGAAAUUCGGAUUAAUACUCCAUAGUUUCAUUUUAUUGCAUGAUAGAAUGAAUAAAGUUUCGGCGGUAAAGGAUGGGCAUGCGUAUGAUUAGCUAGUUGGAGAGGUAAUGGCUCACCAAGGCAACGAUCAUAGGGGUUCUGAGAGGAAGGUC